CCCUUAGAUGUCCUGGGCCGCACGCGCGUUACACUGAUGCAUUCAACGAGCUUAUAACCUUGGCCGAGAGGCCUGGGCAAUCUUGUUAACGUGCAUCGUGAUAGGGAUAGAUUAUUGAAAUUAUUAAUCUUGAACGAGGAAUUCCUAGUAAACGCAGAUCAUCAAUCUGCAUUGAUUACGUCCCUGCUCUUUGUACACACCGCCCGUCGCACCUACCGAUUGGAUGGUCCGGUGAAGCCUCGGGAUUGUGGUUCUUGCCGCUUUAUUGUGGCGUGACCGCGAGAACUUGUCUAAACCUUAUCAUCUAGAGGAAGGUGAAGUCGUAACA
rnacentral:rRNA from 1 species